rnacentral:rRNA from 1 species
UUAUGAGCUUAUAUAAUUAGGUAAUAAAGAAUAACUGAAACCUAAAGAAUUUGGCGGUAUUUUAAAUAAUUGGAGGAACCUGUUAUUAAAUUGACAUUUCACAAAAUAUCUCACCUAAAUUUUAUUUGUAUAUCGUUGUUUGUGACAUUAUCUAGAGAUAAAAUCUUACCUAAAAUAUUUUUAAAAAUCAAAUCAAGGUGCAGUGUAUUUAGGGUGUAAUGGGUUACAAUAUAUUUUAUAUAAACGAACAAAAAUGUGAAAUAUUUUUUAAAGGUGGAUUCAAAAGUAAAAUAAAAUUAAGAAGUUUAUUUGAUUAAUAAUUUAAAAUAUGC